AAGGAUUUAAGUUAAAAAAACUAACAACCUUCAAAGUUGUAAAUAGGAAACUUACCUAAGCCUUG
rnacentral:tRNA from 1 species